GGUGGCUCAGUGGUAGAGUGCUUGCCUUGCAUGCAUGAGGUUGGGGUUUGAUUCUUCAGUACCA
rnacentral:tRNA from 1 species